rnacentral:rRNA from 1 species
GUGGAGGGCCAAACAAGGGUCUUAGCAUUUUUUGAUCUUGGAAGCUAAGCAAGGUCAGGUCUGGUUAGUACUUGGAUGGGAGACCUCCUGGGAAUACCAGGUGCUGUAGGCU